rnacentral:rRNA from 1 species
UGGGGAAUAUUGCACAAUGGGCGAAAGCCUGAUGCAGCAACGCCGCGUGAGUGAUGAAGGCCUUCGGGUUGUAAAGCUCUGUCUUCUGGGACGAUAAUGACGGUACCAGAGGAGGAAGCCACGGCUAACUACGUGCCAGCAGCCGCGGUAAUACGUAGGUGGCAAGCGUUGUCCGGAUUUACUGGGCGUAGAGGAUGCGUAGGCGGAUACUUAAGUCAGAUGUGAAAAUCCCGGGCUUAACUUGGGAACUGCAUUUGAAACUGGGUAUCUAGAGUGCGGGAGAGGAAAGUGGAAUUCCUAGUGUAGCGGUGAAAUGCGUAGAGAUUAGGAAGAACACCAGUGACGAAGGCGACUUUCUGGACCGUAACUGACGCUGAGGCAUGAAAGCGUGGGGAGCAAACA